rnacentral:rRNA from 1 species
AGUGAACGCUGGCGGUAGGCCUAACACAUGCAAGUCGAACGGCAGCACAGGAGAGCUUGCUCUCUGGGUGGCGAGUGGCGGACGGGUGAGGAAUACAUCGGAAUCUACUCUGUCGUGGGGGAUAACGUAGGGAAACUUACGCUAAUACCGCAUACGACCUACGGGUGAAAGCAGGGGAUCUUCGGACCUUGCGCGAUUGAAUGAGCCGAUGUCGGAUUAGCUAGUUGGCGGGGUAAAGGCCCACCAAGGCGACGAUCCGUAGCUGGUCUGAGAGGAUGAUCAACCACACUGGAACUGAGACACGGUCCAGACUCCUACGGGAGGCAGCAGUGGGGAAUAUUGGACAAUGGGCGCAAGCCUGAUCCAGCCAUACCGCGUGGGCGAAGAAGGCCUUCGGGUUGUAAAGCCCUUUUGUUGGGAAAGAAAUCCAGCUGGCUAAUACCCGGUUGGGAUGACGGUACCCAAAGAAUAAGCACCGGCUAACUUCGUGCCAGCAGCCGCAGUAA